rnacentral:rRNA from 1 species
UACGUAGGGGGCAAGCGUUGUCCGGAUUUAUUGGGCGUAAAGAGCGUGUAGGCGGCUAGAUAGGUCCGUUGUGAAAACUCGAGGCUCAACCUCGAGACGCCGAUGGAAACCAUCUAGCUAGAGUCCGGAAGAGGAGAAUGGAAUUCCUGGUGUAGCGGUGAAAUGCGCAGACUAUCAGGAAGAACACCCGUGGCUAAGGCGGUUCUCUAGUACGGUACUG